AUUGAACGCUGGCGGCAGGCCUAACACAUGCAAGUCGAACGGUAACAGGAAGCAGCUUGCUGCUUUGCUGACGAGUGGCGGACGGGUGAGUAAUGUCUGGGAAACUGCCCGAUGGAGGGGGAUAACUACUGGAAACGGUAGCUAAUACCGCAUAACGUCGCAAGACCAAAGAGGGGGACCUUAGGGCCUCUUGCCAUCGGAUGUGCCCAGAUGGGAUUAGCUAGUAGGUGGGGCAACGGCUCACCUAGGCGACGAUCCCUAGCUGGUCUGAGAGGAUGACCAGCCACACUGGAACUGAGACACGGUCCAGACUCCUACGGGAGGCAGCAGUGGGGAAUAUUGCACAAUGGGCGCAAGCCUGAUGCAGCCAUGCCGCGUGUAUGAAGAAGGCCUUCGGGUUGUAAAGUACUUUCAGCGGGGAGGAAGGGAGUAAAGUUAAUACCUUGGCUCAUUGACGUUACCCGCAGAAGAAGCACCGGCUAACUCCGUG
rnacentral:rRNA from 1 species